AUUGAACGCUGGCGGCAGGCCUAACACAUGCAAGUCGAGCGGAUGAGAAGAGCUUGCUCUUCGAUUCAGCGGCGGACGGGUGAGUAAUGCCUAGGAAUCUGCCUGGUAGUGGGGGACAACGUUUCGAAAGGAACGCUAAUACCGCAUACGUCCUACGGGAGAAAGCAGGGGACCUUCGGGCCUUGCGCUAUCAGAUGAGCCUAGGUCGGAUUAGCUAGUUGGUGAGGUAAUGGCUCACCAAGGCGACGAUCCGUAACUGGUCUGAGAGGAUGAUCAGUCACACUGAAACGGCGACACGGUCCAGACUCCUACGGGAGGCAGCAGUGGGGAAUAUUGGACAAUGGGCGAAAGCCUGAUCCAGCCAUGCCGCGUGUGUGAAGAAGGUCUUCGGAUUGUAAAGCACUUUAAGUUGGGAGGAAGGGCAGUAAGUUAAUACCUUGCUGUUUUGACGUUACCGACAGAAUAAGCACCGGCUAACUCUGUGCCAGCCGCCGCAGUAA
rnacentral:rRNA from 1 species